CGCGCAGGCGGGUUUGUCAGUCAGGGGUGAAAUCCUACAGCUUAACUGUAGAACUGCCUUUGAUACUGCAAGCCUUGAGUUCGGAAGAGAGAGGCGGAAUUCCAGGUGUAGUGGUGAAAUACGUAGAUAUCUGGAAGAACACCAGAGGCGAAGGCGGUCUCUUGGUCCGUAACUGACGCUGAGGCGCGAAAGCGUGGGGAGCAAACA
rnacentral:rRNA from 1 species